ACCAAGCCAUGAGGUCGAAGGAAUUGUCUGUAGAUAUCUAAGACAGGAUUGUGUCGAGGCACAGAUCUGGGGAAGGGUACCAAAACUUCUCUGCAGCAUUUAAGGUUCCAAAGACAACUGUGUUUCCAUCAUUCUUAAAUGGAAGAUCAAGUUGUGGAAACAUCUGAAGGAUAAUCAAUAGAAGCAGGAUGCACCUGAGCUCAAUUUCAAGUCUCAUAGCAAAGGGCCUGAAUACUUAUGUAAAUAAGAUUAUUCGUAGAGGAAAACUGAAGACUGCUGUGCUACUUCCGAAGAGUGAUACAGUCCAAAAACAACCCAACUAUUGAUCCAAUGCCUUCAACCCAGCAAUUGGGUCACCCAAACAACCCAACGCUGUUGAGAGUGUAACUUACAUCUCAAAGCUGAGAUGGCACCUAUCUCUGGAUUACAUCUUCAAACUAAGGGCAAUCAUGGCAUCCUUGACCGGGAGAAGCAUCCAUUCCAUGUAUACCGUAUCCGCCCAACCAAGUACCACCUCUCUCAGCUCGAUGACGUCCCAUUAUCCUUCACUCAACAUUCUCAGUCUUCUUAAGUUGCAUACAGCUAGGCCAAGGACGAUGAGCCACUGUCUUGCACUUUGUGACUUUCUGUUCUUAAUUUGUAUUACAUAUGUAUUACAUAUUACAUCGGCUAAACUGUGUAUUUAACAUUUAUUGAAUUUAUAUGAGUAUGUAUUGUGAUUUUUUUUUUUCUUCACAAUGCUGGAUGCUCUUCUUACUCGUUCCAUAAACAACACAAAAACAAGUGGAGCUAACAUGUCACUCAGGAACCCUGGUUCGAUUCCAGGCUGUAUCACAACUGUCCGUGAUUGGGAGUCCCAUAGGGCGACGCACAAUUGGCCCAGGGUCAACUGUUCUUAACUGACUUGCCUCGUUAAAUAAAGAUGAAUUAAAAAAAAUACAUUUACAUACAAUAGCAACCAAUACUGGCAUGUCAUUUGAAAUCCCUGGUGAAAUGAAAUUUGUUAAUUAAGGCAUCUAGAAGUGCAAGUGAUAUAACAUCAAAAAUAAUGUUUGUAACAAGUAUUGAAUUUCAUGUUGUAUAAUUACACAAAAUCUGAGUAGUUCCCAUGCCUGAUACAAUAUGGUAUGUCUACAUUCCUUUUGUUGUUGUAAGUGCCCUUUAAAGUUGCACACUUCAUUCUCCUUCAGUAUUCUCCCUCAUAAACAUCCCCUUACCUUAUCCCUGUCUACUGUAUCUGGAAGAGGUAGUU